rnacentral:tRNA from 1 species
AUAUAGACGGCUGAGUGGUUUAAGGCACCUGACUGAAUAUCAGACGUACGGGGAACUGUACCGGGAGUUCGAAUCUCCCUCUAUCCG